rnacentral:tRNA from 2 species
GCACCUGUAGCUCAAUUGGAUAGAGCGUCUGGCUACGGACCAGAAGGUUGCAGGUUCAAGUCCUACCAGGUGCACCA